rnacentral:rRNA from 1 species
UGGAGAAAAGCAGGGGAUCGCAAGACCUUGCGCUCUUGGAGCGGCCGAUGUCUGAUUAGCUAGUUGGUGAGGUAAAGGCUUACCAAGGCGACGAUCAGUAGCUGGUCUGAGAGGACGACCAGCCACACUGGGACUGAGACACGGCCCAGACUCCUACGGGAGGCAGCAGUGGGGAAUUUUGGACAAUGGGGGAAACCCUGAUCCAGCCAUGCCGCGUGAGUGAAGAAGGCCUUCGGGUUGUAAAGCUCUUUCAGCCGGAACGAAACGGUCACAGCUAAUACCUGUGACUACUGACGGUACCGGAAGAAGAAGCACCGGCUAACUACGUGCCAGCAGCCGCGGUAAUACGUAGGGUGCAAGCGUUAAUCGGAAUUACUGGGCGUAAAGCGUGCGCAGGCGGUUUUGUAAGUCAGAUGUGAAAUCCCCGGGCUUAACCUGGGAACUGCGUUUGAAACUACAAGG